rnacentral:miRNA from 1 species
UCCAGGGUUCAGUGUGUGUGUGUGUGUGUGUGUAGCAGGCCAGCCUGGGCGUGUGCACACACUCACAUGCCUG